AAAUAUAGUAGAGGUUGCACCGGUUAUUAGUAGUACAUAGGAUGUCCCGGAGACAGAAGAUUGUGUACAAAAGGAAGUGGUGCCGAAGGGUGGAUAUCCGGAAUAUUUACUCUGGGCGUAUGGUUAAUAGUCAUAUGACUGUCAUCAAUUGAUGAAGAGCUAAUUGAUGGAGGGCUACUUAUAAG
rfam:Eubacterium sp. CAG:192 genomic scaffold, scf416